AAAGUACUCCCUCCGUCUGGAAAUACUUGUCGUCAAAAUGAAUAAAAGAGGAUGUAUCUAGACGUAUUUUAGUUCUAGAUACAUCCCUUUUUAUCCAUUUUGAUGACAAGUAUUUUCGGACGGAGGGAGUAUACA
rnacentral:pre_miRNA from 1 species